rnacentral:lncRNA from 10 species
AUUGGAACCUGGAUCUUGGAUUUCUCAUAUUCAAGUGGCUGUUGCUAAAUAUAUUGAUGGGGAUAGGAUAUAAAAUGGCCAUAACACAAAAUAGUGGUACUAAGCUUUCUAAAGUUGGAGAAGGUUGCUUUCCUCUGUAUAUACAACUUCUUGAUCUAUGAAUCCAACCAAAAAUUGGUUGCUGCUAUUACAGAAAUCUGUCCACAUUUGUAUGUUUCAGUUUGGAUAUGCUCAGCUGUAAAUAACGUAAUACUUAAUUAAAAGUAAGGGUGAAUUCAUCUGACAUAAUAAUAAAUAUAAGGAGAAAACAUUAGAGGAUUGAUAUACCAGCUCAACAGUGUCAUCUGCACCCAGAUUCUCAUAGUCCCUUUGUUUUUCCAUCUUCAUCAUGUAGAGGCUGUCUCCCAUCCCAAGUGUAAAAUGACCACCAUUGCCCCAAGCAUCCUACUCUCAGAGUACAGCACUCCAAGCAAGGAAAAAGGAGCUGUGAGCAAAGGGGCUUCCUCAUCUUGCUGUUCCUUACCAUUUGUUUAUUUUUUGGUGGGCAAGGAAAAUAUUUCUCCCAUGUCCUUCUAUAUUCUUCUGGGUAGAACCAAGUUAAAUGCUGGUGUGUGCGUGUGUGUGUGUGUGUAAUUUUUUGUAUAUUAUUAUGUUUUAAAAUCUUAAAAACCUUUCUGGCUGAAGAGACUGCCCCUCCUGGGUCUAGAGGAUUCUUGGAGAUGCUGAAGGGCUCUGCUGAGGACAUGUCUUUAAUGUGCAAACUAACCAAUCCAGAGUCAUAUCUCCUCUGUUGGGCCCACAUACCUCAGAAAUACACCCAGGAGGCAAUAUUCUUCUGCCUUAAUCAUCCCAGGGCCAGGUUUCAGGCAACUAGACCACUUUUCUAGCUUAGAGCCAACAGAACUUAUUCAAACUAGCCAAUCCUACAUGAUUUACUUUGCCCUGUCUUGUUUUUCCCUUUAAAGACCUUGGCCUAAGUUCUUUCCUAGCUCCUGUCUUCUGCCACCUGACCAAAACCUGGCACUUCCCAUAUGGCCCCAGUGGCAUGUGGCAACCCCCUCUCUAGGACCUGUGAGUAUAAUAAACUUUGCUUUCUUAUGCUUCUCCCGUGUCUCCUUGGCCUUAUCUGACUGACCAUCACAUAAAAGAACAGAACAAAUGCCCACCCGCAGGUUAAUCACUGGCAAUAAGAAAUGGAGUCAGCAAGGCUGAUGUAGACAAAUUCUGGUUCAACGCUGAGGCUUAAAACAUUAACACCCAAAUAAAACUAGAGUCUCCCAUUAGCUAACAAGGAUGAAAGUGGGCUUGGUUAAACAGGCAACCCACAUUGUCUAUCGGCACACAUUUCUAAAUGUACUGCAUUUUAUCAAUUUUACCAUACGUAUGUUUUUCACAUUUUGAUAUCUCUAAAGUUGGAGAGCAUCUUGCAUACACCAUUGGCCAUUUUUUAUGCAAUUGAUAUCUUGCAAAUCAGUUUAUCUUACCGUUGAUGAUUCCUUAGAUUGAAUGAAAUAUACAAUUGCACUCUGCUUGAUUGUCUGUCACCCACUCAACAUUGUCUGUAUUCCGUGCCACACUUGUCUCUAUAUUUUGGGGGAAAAGCUUGGAAACUGCAUUUUCUAUAAUCUAUCGCCAGCAGAUUUCAUGUUAAAUUCUGCCAGGGAAAGAUACUCUUUGAUAUUUGGUAAGAAAAGAGAAGUCAUUAUUCCCAGGUGUGUGGGUGAUGGUAGAUGGCACGCAUGAAGUUUUGUUUGAUGUUUUCAAAAGAGAUCCUUUUGAGAAUCACCUAAUUUUGUGCUGAAGGGAGCUGAAAUCAUUGAUGGUGGCAUCCUUAAAAUUCCCAUAUUUUUGAUUUCCUGAAAGCCAGCAGUGGCCUCCCUGAUAUUUCUUCCCCCAUCCCUCACAAAGGUUGUCAAAGACUCCAAAUUCUCUGUAUUGAAUCCUUUCCUAGAGUGGUCUCUGUUGUCUGGACUAAACUUUUAUUGACACAUUUUUUUUCUAUCUUUUCUACAGUUUCUAAUGUGUUUCUCCCUCUUUAUUGGGGAAGAAACCUGAAAAAUUACCUUCCUUUUUGCUAAUGUGAUUUGGGCGUUACUUUAUCUAAGAGUAAGCUGGAAUAGGCAUUGUGUGUAGACGCAGGGAUGGCCUGCUCAGCACAAUUGUAUGAGUGUAGAUGUAUGUGGGUGCUGGGUCAACUGUUGAGCUCAGGUGAGCCCAGCAUUUGAGUCAUCCCAACCAGAUAGGUCACAUACAUGAAGGAAGAAACCUUUAGAUCAUUCCAGUUCCCAGCAAUUUAAGUCAUCUCCAGCAUUCAGUGCUAAGGCUCCUGGCAUUAUAGAGCAUAGGCAAGCCUUCCACCCAGGGCCCUAUCUAACUUCCUAAAAAAGUGUGUGAGAAUUAUGAAAUGGUGUUUUUUUCCUCCACUCAUUUAAAAUAGUUUGUUCCACAGUAAUGAGUCAUGUCAACCUGAGGAUAGGAUUUGAGUGUUCCUGGGUCUUCUCAUCAAAUAUCAUUUUAAUAUUUCCCCUUUCCAUCAGGGUUAAUCUUCUUUCCACAACUAGUUUGUGAGCCCUUAAGGCCAUAUUUUAGAUUUAUACUAUAUUUCUUUUAAAACUGAACUCACUACUGAGCACUCAGUUGGAGCUUUCCAAAAUGUGCAUUGGCUAACUUGCAGGGUGAUGCCAGGGCUCUCCAUAGGAGCAAGCACUGACCACAGGCUCUGAGAUUUUCCAAAAUAAUUAUUUUUGUGAUAGAGUACGUGGGAUGCCAAAUGCACAAAGGAGCCAGAAAGAACUUUUCUGAGCCAGUGUUGCAUGCUUUCACCACAUUUUAUGAUGUGUAUGUGAUUUGCUGGGUUCAUAUUCCUCUUUUUAAUUGGAAAACUAUUUGUCAUUUCAUUUGGUUACAAUAAUCAAUGAAAAGGAAAAUUCUUGUCUCAAAGUUUGGCAUUACACAUUAGGUAAACUUUGUAACUUUUGAAGUUAGAGUGAGGAUGAACUGGGUUCACAUACAACUGUUGUAUUAUUGGCAGGGCAUGAAUUUACCUAGGUGACUCAGAGAAUGCCUUGUCACCUCUCUUAUCCCUUGUCUCCUGAUCUCUUAUGACCUCUCUGGAUCCUAUGAGUCAAGAUCACUGCAUGUCUUACAUGCACAGCAAUACUUGUUAGAUGAAGUGAAUUAAUAAAUGCAAAAUGGCUGUGGAAUUCAAAAUGGUAUGUAGAUACUAAGUAUUAUUAUAAGAAUAAGUUUUUGCAAUUGCACCUAACUGCUAUCUCAUAAGACAUCUUAUUAAUUACAUAAAUAAAAUAUUGCUCUAAUGAAACUUUUAGAGUCUAUCAUGGCAUAUUAAAGAAGAAGGAAUUAUUCAAAAAAGUUUUAAAUUACAAUAAUAAUUUUCUGGGGAUCCUCCUUUUUUCCUCUCAUAUAUUUCUUAGUGGCGGGCACUGUUCUCAUGCUAGUGAAUGUUCAUGAGGUUCCGUUGUAUAGUAUGUGAAACAAAUGCCAGGCAUGUAAAAAUGAUUAUUUCACAAAUAACAUCUGGCACUUUGCUGGGCUUCCAAGACAGAUGCUAAUGUACUAAUGCCAAAUUUCUCAAGUGGUCAUCCUGGUGUGCAACUGCUCUCUGGCCCAAAUGCCACCC